AGUGAACGCUGGCGGCAGGCCUAACACAUGCAAGUCGAACGGCAGCACAGGAGAGCUUGCUCUCUGGGUGGCGAGUGGCGGACGGGUGAGGAAUAUAUCGGAAUCUACCCUUUCGUGGGGGAUAACGUAGGGAAACUUACGCUAAUACCGCAUACGAACUGAGGUUGAAAGCGGCGGACCACAAGGCGUCGCGCGGAUGGAUGAGCCGAUAUCCGAUUAGCUAGUUGGCGGGGUAAAGGCCCACCAAGGCGACGAUCGGUAGCUGGUCUGAGAGGAUGAGCAGCCACACUGGAACUGAGACACGGUCCAGACUCCUACGGGAGGCAGCAGUGGGAAUAUUGGACAAUGGGCGCAAGCCUGAUCCAGCCAUGCCGCGUGUGUGAAGAAGGCCUUCGGGUUGUAAAGCACUUUUGUUGGGAAAGAAAAGCGGUCGGUUAAUACCCGGUCGUUCUGACGGUACCCAAAGAAUAAGCACCGGCUAACUUCGUGCCAGCAGCCGCCGCCGUAA
rnacentral:rRNA from 1 species